AAAGAAACAACACCAGACAGUGGAAUGAAGGCUAUCUAUCAAUUUAUUUGUUCUUACUACUACUAAAUACUACAAGGUUGUAAAGACUAUCAACAUAUUAUACUACAUGCAUAUUGAUAGGUCAAUGAUAUGAAAACGUGUGAAAACAAAAGGCAUAGGUAACUCAUUAAUGAGGAGUGAUUAUAAUUACCCCGUUAGAUAAACACAUUUAAACUGUUAUAACAGGUUUGUAAGUUCCAUUUGAGACCAAACAGUCCAUGUGUCAAAUUAUGUACAAAUCACUUGUUUGAGUGAACACCAGUUGACAAUGGUGACAUGCAGCCAGAAAAGCCACUAAGUCUCCUUUACUUUAUUCAACAAAAUCAAGAACUCAAUAAAAUCUUCAAUAAAAUUCAUUAUCUUAACCAGAUUUGAAAUGGAUAACAGUACAAUAAUUCUACUCAGACAACACAUAUGUAUCCUAUACAGGCUUACAGAAUACUGGUACAGAGUCAAAAAUAAUCUCAAGCACAUAGUGAGUAUAAAUGUAAUACUUUUGAUCAUUAAAAAAAAAUUGUGUUUACUGGAUUCAACAUAAAUAUAAACAGAAUUGAUGACUUCAGUCUAAAAAAUCUCAAGAAGUAGAUCUAGAAUCAUUCAACUGCAUAGGCUUCAACAGAACUCAAGACAUCUAUUAUAGUUUCAUAAGUGAUGAUAAUAAAAAUACCGUUUCAGCUCGUCUUGGUGAAUAGAAGAAAACAAAAGAACUUCCAAUGUCUCUGUUGAAGGCAGGGUGACAACAAGUAAAUACAUUGCAUUAUCUUUUGAAACAAGUCAAUUCAAUAAGACAUCAAUGUAUAACAAGUUGGCAUACCAAAAGAAAAGCUGAUAUAGGAGAGCAGAGUUUCAAUAAUGCAAAUACUAUCCACAUCAUCAAUGUGGUCAUAGAACAAAUAAUGGAUUUCAAAAUCCAGUAAUGAAAAAGGUAAACAUAGUUUGUUUCUGUUUUUUUUUUUUUAGUGAAUUCAACACAAUAAAACAUAUUAAUGAAUCAAACAAAAUAUUCGACUGUGUGUGACUUCAGUUAAAAAAAAAAAUGUAUUUAUGAUUAUGAUUCACCAAUUCACAUAAAAUUAAGUCUCACAACAUUCACUUGAUAAUGUAAACCAACAGGAUCAUUAAAACAACUACACAGAAACAAUAACAUUAACUAUAUCAUUUAAUAUCAAUUGUUGCACAUUAAAAUGAUACUACUCACAACGUAAAAAGAAUUUUAACUUUCUUUGAAAAAUUUUAUGUAUAGGGGAAAAUUUUGAUAAAAAAAUAUUUUAGAUCACGUAAAAAAUGUGCAUGCAUAAUAAACUUUGUAUAAUUUCUACCAAAUAAUUUUUUAAAGAUAUAGUCACAAAAACAAAACAUUUUAUGUUAUAAGCAAAACAAAAACUAAAAAAACAACAACUUUGUCCUCCCUAUUCAAAGAAACUUUUUGCCAUAAGGUCAAGAAGUUCAAGAAAAAAAAAAGUUGGAUCCAAGAAAUUCAUCAAAAUGUCUAUAAAAAACAAAAAAAUAAUAAAAAUAAAGUGGAAAAGCUAUGUGAUGUUACAUUUUAGCUCAGUUGUCAACUUAAAAAAGGAUAAUAAAUUUUAAUGAUAUUCCAACAGUCUUAUUUAAACACAAUUUUCAAUUGAUUUAUUUAAAAGAAAAGUUGCAAUGCUAACCAAAUGUCCAGGGCAUUGCAUAAAUGUCAGAAAGAUGGCAUAUAAAUUAAAGACAAGUGUUUGACAUGCUUGUUAUUUCUGCAACUUGAAAAUCAUUUAAAUACUGUUCAUUAACUCUUUCUCUCCAUUAUUAUUUUUUCACGUUUUGGAGGAAUUCUUCAUCCUGCUCAUUACUAUUUCACUACCCUGUUAUGAUUAAGCUUCAAAGGCUUUGUUGUUUGUUAUCAGAAAAUGUUGUAUUUGGUAUAGAAUUAAAGGGAAAUGCAUGCUCUUUUUAAAUAAACACCAAGUCAAGUUUAUAAAAUUAAAAAUUUAUAUAUUUAAUGAGAUCGAAUCAACGAUGGUAUCGUCGAUUAAGAGUUAAUCUAGACUUCUAAUCCACAUACAGAGACAUCAUCACAUCAAAUGCAAUUACAGACAUUUGAUUGACUAACAAAGUUCAGAAAAUAAAAAAAUAUUACCUUUAAUUGAAAAAGUUACUUAAAAAAGAAUGAAUUAUGAGACAACAACCCCCCCCCCCCCC